rnacentral:rRNA from 1 species
GCACAAGCGGUGGAGCAUGUGGUUUAAUUCGAUGAUACGCGAGGAACCUUACCUAGGCUAGAAUGUGAGCGCCAGGCCGGGAAACCGGCUGUUCCCUCGGGACGCGAAACAAGGUGCUGCAUGGUUGUCGUCAGCUCGUGCCGUGAGGUGUUGGGUUAAGUCCCGCAACGAGCGCAACCCUUGUCCUUAGUUGCCAGCACAUAAAGGUGGGGACUCUAAGGAGACUGCCGGCGCAAGCCGCGAGGAAGGUGGGGACGACGUCAAAUCAUCAUGGCCUUUAUGCCUAGGGCUACACACGUGCUACAAUGGCGGGUACAGAGGGCAGCGAAGCCGCGAGGCGGAGCCAAUCCCAGAAAGCCCGUCCCAGUUCGGAUUGGAGUCUGCAACCCGGCUCCAUGAAGGUGGAAUCGCUAGUAAUCGCGCAUCAGCCAUGGCGCGGUGAAUACGUUCCCGGGC